rnacentral:rRNA from 1 species
CCUACGGGAGGCAGCAGUGAGGAAUAUUGGUCAAUGGACGCAAGUCUGAACCAGCCAUGCCGCGUGCAGGAUGACGGCUCUAUGAGUUGUAAACCGCUUUUGUACGAGGGUAAACCUCGAUACGUGUACCGGGUUGAAAGUAUCGCACGAAUAAGGAUUGGCUAACCCCGUGCCAGCAGGCGGGGUAAUACGGAGGAUCCGAGCGUUAUCCGGAUUUAUUGGGGUUAAAGGGUGCGUAGGCGGGUUGAUAAGUUCGGGGGGAAAUGUCGGGGCUCAACCCCGAAACUGCCUCUAAUACUGGUGGACUAGAGGAUGGUUGAGGUAGGGGGAAUGUGUGGUGUAGCGGUGAAAUGCUUAGAGAUCAUACAGAACACCGAUUGCGAAGGCAGCUUACC